CAACAGGCAGACACGGCUCUAGCCUGGUGAUCUGGAGCCAGUGACUGGGUCCCUGUGAAAUCAGGAUGGCUCCUUUUCUUCGCAGGACCUAGCAUGGGACCAGGGGAAGAGACUCAGCAGAGUGAAUUGUUUUAUUUUCACUUCCUCAGAGGCCCAGGUAUAGUCAGUUCUGAGAUAGAGGAUCCCAGGAGGGCACGUCUAUCCCAGACGUUAGAGAGGCUCUGGGAUCAGGCAGCGCUGUGUCUGAGCUCCCGCUCCGGGCCAGGCAGCUCUCACGGAGACGCCCAAGAUUUUUCUUACCGUCCAUGUUAAACUUGAGCACAUUUGGAAAUAUUUUAGACCUGAAAGAAAACAUCGGGACAUCAAAACAAUCACUACAGCUGGGCAGGGCCUCUGCAGCCACAGGCUUGCUGAUGAAAAGAUUUGUGGAGACUGCCUAAUGAAGUGUUCAGAAAGCGUUCUGUGUGUCAUCUGUUUUCCUGACGACCUCCUCAUUGGGUAGAUAAGGGGCAAGAGCUAUUUUCCCGUGUUGCAUAAAUAGGAAAUGAGGUAGAGUGAGUUUGAGAGAAUUAUGACUCAAAAUAGAAGUGAGUCAGGGGCAGACUGAAGACUGCACACGACCUCGCCUGAUCCCCUAAUCCCAGCCUUGGCGGCAGGCUGGGCCCUAGGUUUUAAAGAAAAUACAAUGAUUUCACUUUCACUUUUGUUCUUUUGUAGGGUUGUGCUAGAAUCUUUACACUGGAGAAGGAAAGGGGUGUGUGUUGGGGGGAGGGUAUGUUUUUUCUUCUUUCUUUUAAAAACUCUCCCCUUUCCCUUUGGUAGAUGCCAACAUCUGUAUUGACUCCAUUCAGUUGAAUUCAACAACCCGGUGCCUGUUUUGUGCAAGGCUCUUUCCCAGGCACCGAGGAAGUUCUGGAAGGUUCUUCCAGCCGGUAGGACAAAAGGACCAAAUGAGAAUUGAAUGGUAUUUCUUACCAUCUUUUGGUUCAUGGAAAGUUUGAGAAUCUGGUGAAAGCUGUGAGUCCUCUCUCU